rnacentral:rRNA from 1 species
GUGGGGAAUCUUCCGCAAUGGACGAAAGUCUGACGGAGCAACGCCGCGUGAGUGAUGAAGGUCUUCGGAUUGUAAAGCUCUGUUAAUCGGGACGAAAGAGCCUAGUGUGAAUAAUGCUAGGAAGUGACGGUACCGGAAUAGAAAGCCACGGCUAACUACGUGCCAGCAGCCGCGGUAAUACGUAGGUGGCAAGCGUUGUCCGGAAUUAUUGGGCGUAAAGCGCGCGCAGGCGGAUCUGCCAGUCUGUCUUAAAAGUUCGGGGCUUAACCCCGUGAUAGGAUGGAAACUACAGAUCUAGAGUAUCGGAGAGGAAAGUGGAAUUCCUAGUGUAGCGGUGAAAUGCGUAGAUAUUAGGAAGAACACCAGUGGAGAAGGCGACUUUCUGGACGAAAACUGACGCUGAGGCGCGAAAGCCAGGGGAGCGAACGGGAUUAGAAACCCCAGUAGUCCU